GAUGAACGCUGGCGGCGUGCCUAAUACAUGCAAGUCGAGCGAACAGACGAGGAGCUUGCUCCUCUGACGUUAGCGGCGGACGGGUGAGUAACACGUGGAUAACCUACCUAUAAGACUGGGAUAACUUCGGGAAACCGGUGCUAAUACCGGAUAAUAUAUUGAACCGCAUGGUUCAAUAGUGAAAGACGGUUUUGCUGUCACUUAUAGAUGGAUCCGCGCCGGAUUAGCUAGUUGGUAAGGUAACGGCUUACCAAGGCAACGAUGCGUAGCCGACCUGAGAGGGUGAUCGGCCACACUGGGACUGAGACACGGUCCAGACUCCUACGGGAGGCAGCAGUAGGGAAUCUUCCGCAAUGGGCGAAAGCCUGACGGAGCAACGCCGCGUGAGUGAUGAAGGUCUUCGGGUCGUAAAACUCUUUUAUUAGGGAAGAACAAAUGUGUAAGUAACUAGGCACGUCUUGACGGUACCGAAUCAGAAAGCCACGGCUAACUACGUG
rnacentral:rRNA from 1 species